rnacentral:rRNA from 1 species
AUUGAACGCUGGCGGCAUGCCUUACACAUGCAAGUCGAACGGCAGCACGGGUGCUUGCACCUGGCGGCGAGUGGCGAACGGGUGAGUAAUACAUCGGAACGUACCUUAUCGUGGGGGAUAACGCAGCGAAAGUUGCGCUAAUACCGCAUACGCCCUGAGGGGGAAAGCGGGGGACCGUAAGGCCUCGCGCGAUUAGAGCGGCCGAUGUCUGAUUAGCUUGUUGGUGAGGUAAAAGCUCACCAAGGCGAUGAUCAGUAGCUGGUCUGAGAGGACGAUCAGCCACACUGGGACUGAGACACGGCCCAGACUCCUACGGGAGGCAGCAGUGGGGAAUUUUGGACAAUGGGGGCAACCCUGAUCCAGCAAUGCCGCGUGAGUGAAGAAGGCCUUCGGGUUGUAAAGCUCUUUUGUCAGGGAAGAAACAGCAGCUCUAACACAGUCUGCGAAUGACGGUACCUGAAGAAUAAGCACCGGCUAACUACGUGCCAGCAGCCGCGGUAA